AGCGGAGUUUUGAAAAGCUUGCUUUUCAAAACUUAGCGGCGGACGGGUGAGUAACACGUGGGCAACCUGCCCUUGAGACGGGGAUAACUCCGGGAAACCGGAGCUAAUACCGGAUAACACAUAUCUUCGCAUGAGGAUAUGUUAGAAGGUGGCUUUUAGCUACCACUCAAGGAUGGGCCCGCGGCGCAUUAGCUAGUUGGUGAGGUAACGGCUCACCAAGGCGACGAUGCGUAGCCGACCUGAGAGGGUGAUCGGCCACACUGGGACUGAGACACGGCCCAGACUCCUACGGGAGGCAGCAGUAGGGAAUCUUCCGCAAUGGACGAAAGUCUGACGGAGCAACGCCGCGUGAGUGAUGAAGGUUUUCGGAUCGUAAAGCUCUGUUGUUAGGGAAGAACAAGUACCUGUUAAAUAAGCAGGUACCUUGACGGUACCUAACCAGAAAGCCACGGCUAACUACGUGCCAGCAGCCGCGGUAAUACGUAGGUGGCAAGCGUUGUCCGGAAUUAUUGGGCGUAAAGCGCGCGCAGGCGGUUCCUUAAGUCUGAUGUGAAAGCCCACGGCUCAACCGUGGAGGGUCAUUGGAAACUGGGGAACUUGAGUGCAGAAGAGGAGAGCGGAAUUCCACGUGUAGCGGUGAAAUGCGUAGAGAUGUGGAGGAACACCAGUGGCGAAGGCGGCUCUCUGGUCUGUAACUGACGCUGAGGCGCGAAAGCGUGGGGAGCGAACA
rnacentral:rRNA from 2 species